UUGGCGUGCUUCCAGAACAGGGGACAUUGUCCCUGUUCAGCGCCUCCAGGAUCCGGGAGCUGACGUCAGGGGAGGACAGCAGUGGCCUGGAUGCCUGGUUAGGGUGCAGCUCUGGAAUCUCACUCUUACCGGAGAUUUUGGGGCCCAUAGGGGUUGUGCCUCUGUUGCAUCUAGGCAAAGCUGGGCCUGCACUGGGAAAGCCCAGGAGUCCUCAUGUGCUGUCUCCAGCCGCAAUUUCUAAGGAUCGGAUUCUUUCUUUGCUGUGUAUCCAUAGAGUCAGGGAUGUCUUCUAAGAAGUUUUCCCCAAAACUUGGACUAUUGAAAUGGCUUAGUUUAUUCAGAAGGUAUUUAUUGGUCACCUACUUUUGGCCAGUCACUGCAUGGCACCUGUCAGGCCCCUUGGGGAUCUGACAUUCCAAUGGAGAGAGACAAUAAACCAAUGAACAGAGAAAUACCUCUGAAUAAGGCAGAUGGUCAAGCCAGAGAAGACUGUUCAGGGACCAGAAGAAAGGGAGGGAGGGAGCUGCUUGUGAUUUCCAGGCAGAAGGAGCCACCUGUGUAAAGGCCCUGAGACCAGAAUAGAUCUGGUGUGCUUGAGGGACAGCAGGAAGGCCGGUGUACCCAGGAGCACGGUGAAUGAGGGCACGCACGUGCGGAGGAGACAAGGCUGGAAAGGCUGAAGGGAUAAGUAAGUCCUAGUGAUGAGUUUUGCUUUAUUCUGAGUGUUGUGGGAAACCACCGUGGAGAGAGUUUGGAGAGGAAGCAACAUUAUCGGAUACAUUCCAAACAUCUCACCUGGCUGCAGUGUGGACACCACAGCUGCCUGAGGCAGGAAGAACAGUCAGGAAGCCACUGCCAGGAUCCUGGUGAGAGCGAUGGGAGCUGGCUUAAGGUGUUUUGUUCGCUCAGUGUUGGCGGAUGUGGCAGCGAAUUCACGUCAGCAAAUCGCCUCAAGGCUCACGCCUGCGAGGGCAGUGGAGUCACAAGUCCUCACCCAGCACCACAAGGGCUCAGGGUCAGAGGCAUCCUAAGUGCAUCAACGUGAGAAUGGAAAAGCGAAUUGUGACCUGCGUGCAGCGGAACAUACAGUGAAUGAACACAGAGAAGCCUCAAAAGCAAUGUUGAGUAAAACAGACACCAAAUUACAAAAAGAUUAUAGCAAAGAGUAUGAUAACGGGAAAUAUGUCCGCAGUCACCAAACAUCACAGAGCAGCUCUGCCAAACGGAUGUGACGGCCACUCAGGGACACAGCGGCACAAAGAUGAACUCUUCUUGGACCCAGAACAGGACUUUCCUUUUGAGCCCAUGUGCCCUCGACAAGGGGCCGGCUGCCGACCCUGUUCACGGGUCACCAAGCAUGCUGGCCGCUGGCUGUGAGGGGAGAGCGUUUGUCUCCCCGGCAGCCCUGUCCACACAGCCCUGAGGGGAAAUCCCCAUGUCCUGAGUACCUGAUUCUUCUUUUCCAGAAACACUUAAACAGUUGCUCGCUGUGGACAAAGUAGGAAAGCAAGGAUGAUCAACAAGUGCCUGUGUGAAGCAGCUGAAAGUUUUACUAAAGUACAACAAGAAAAGAGCUGCAUUUGUUUAA